rnacentral:rRNA from 1 species
GUUGUUCGGAAUUACUGGGCGUAAAGCGCGCGCAGGCGGCCCUUUAAGUCCGUCGGUCAAAUGCCGGGGCUCAACCCCGAGCGUGCCGAGGAUACUGGAGGGCUGGAGACACGUAGAGGCAAGCGGAAUUCCGGGUGUAGCGGUGGAAUGCGUAGAGAUCCGGAAGAACACCGGAGGCGAAGGCGGCUUGCUGGGCGUGAUCUGACGCUGAGGCGCGAAAGCGUGGGGAGCGAACAGG